GUCCAGCGGCUGGAAGAG
rnacentral:snRNA from 1 species